rnacentral:rRNA from 1 species
UACGUAGGGACCAAGCGUUGUUCGGAUUUACUGGGCGUAAAGGGCGCGUAGGCGGCAAUUCAAGUCAUCUGUGAAAUCUCCGGGCUUAACUCGGAACGGUCAGGUGGAACUGCUUUGCUAGAGUGCGGAAGGGGCAAUCGGAAUUCUCGGUGUAGCGGUGAAAUGCGUAGAUAUCGAGAGGAACACCUGAGGUGAAGACGGGUUGCUGGGCCGACACUGACGCUGAAGCGCGAAAGCCAGGGGAGCAAACGGG